rnacentral:rRNA from 1 species
UACGUAGGGAGCAAGCGUUGUCCGGAAUCAUUGGGCGUAAAGCGCGCGUAGGUGGCUUCAUAAGUCCGUUGUGAAAGUCAAAGGCUCAACCUUUGAAAGCCGAUGGAUACUGUGGAGCUAGGAGUACGGAAGAGGCGAGUGGAAUUCCUGGUGUAGCGGUGGAAUGCGCAGAUAUCAGGAGGAACACCAAUAGCGAAGGCAGCUCGCUGGGACGUUACUGACACUGAGGCGCGAAAGCGUGGGGAGCGAACAGG